AAGAGUUCGGGUCCUCACGGGCCUAACCUCCAACCCUUUGUCUACCAAACCUCACGUUGCUUCGGCGGGUCUGUCUUUCAGACUGCCGGUGGUUUUCACCCCUGGCUCGUACCCGCCGGUGGCCAACUCAACCAAAACUCUUAACUAAAAUCGUGUCUGAAUACUUAAAAGAAAUAAUCAA
rnacentral:misc_RNA from 1 species